AGUCUCAAGAACCUAACAGCCUCAUCUAAAAAAGAAACUUCAUCCCUGAUUCGUUUUUGAGAAAAUCCCAUUGGAUACGUUGGUGUUUCCAGACGGUAAACCUCCAGCGCCGCCAACUUGCCGAUGCAGCAUCCUGGAAGCACCCGACCACAGUCCGACUCCGAGUCCGUCCGAAAACUUCGCGCCUCCGACCACCUCUUCGACACCGAGCACCAUCUCUGCCAAGCGCUUCGACCCCGGCCCCGGCAACAGGCAAUAGGCAAAGCCGAGGAUUUGGGGCCUUCCCCUCCAGAGAUUGACUGACUGAAGCUGAUACUUCCAGCAGCAUCCCAGAGAUGAGACUUCAACUCCUUCAAACUCCAGGCUAAACACGAAGUGUUGGCAGCCCUGAUGUCUCUCUCUUGUAACAAACACAGAUCAUAUGUAUGUGACUUUACUGAUGGAUUUCUUGACAGACUUAAGAACUAAACACUUGGAUCUAGAAUAACUCAUGGAACGUGAUUUUGAUGACCAGCGCCCUCUUUAUAUCAUCUGGCUGAAAUCAGCCCCAGUAUCUCUGAAUCAGAGUGGCAUGGAUCCAAGCAACAAUCGUACUCAAAAAGCAGAUCACUUCCAUCCUGACUCUUUAGUUCAAGAUCUAAGGGUGCCAUGGGUAAGAUAUUGAAGCAAAGAAAGGGACAAAUAAAGACCUACACUAAAAUAGCACCUUUAACAAUUUCUGAUGCAGAAAUUUUUUGAUAUCCGUCAGAAUACAAUGAAGCACAGUUGCUGUUAAAACUCUGGAAGUGCAACACAAACAUGACACCCAUCCUCUCCCCGAACAGUGACAGAACCCUAACCAGGUUAAUGAUUCAGUGUUAAAUUCGGCUGCUCUCCUUUAGAACACUGCUGUGGAAUUUUAUCAUCCUGACCUGGUUCUUCAUCAGUGUUUGGUUUAGUGCUCAAACCUCACCCACCACCUCGAAUUAAGAGAUUUUGUUUAUGAGGGAUCUUAACAGGGUGAACUGGAAGGAUUCACUAACCACUGAGCAUUGACUUAACAUAAUUGACAGAGGGAGACAGAGCAAGUUUAAGGAGGGAAUUUGGAACUCAUGACCUGAAAGGUCAAUGAAGGCGGAAAUCGUCAACACGUCAAAAUGUAGCUGGAGAUGGAACUGUCUUAACCUACUCUUGUUGGCUGACAGGUGCACAAUGGCCUGUUCAAUCAUUUUAACACUACGGUGGAUACAGUUUCACCAUGUAGACUGUAAUGGCCCAAGAAAGCGGUACACCACGAUGUCCUCAAGGGCUAUACAGAAUAGGCACUGACUGUCAUAGAGUAAUACAGCACAAAACAGGCCAUUCUGCCCAGCUGGUCCAUGCCAACCAAGAGUUCCCAUCUAAGCUAGUCUCAUUUGCUCAUGUUUGGCCAUAUCCCUCUAAUCUUUCCCACCCAUGUACCUGUCUAAGUACUUUCUGAAUGUUUUUAAUGCACCUCCCUCAACCACUUCCUCUGGCAACUCAUUCCAUAUACUGACCAUCUUCUGGAGAAAACUUUGCCCCUCAUCUUUCUAUUAAAUGUCUUCCCUCUCCCCUUAAACCUGUCCCUUCUAGUUCUUGACUCCCCAACCCUGGGAAAAAGACUGCACAUUCACCCUAUCCAUGCCACUCAUAGUUUUCUGCACCUCUACAAGACUGCCAGUGACACCAAAAUCCAGUACAUGAGCCAUUAUGCCAAACCACUUACAUUGUGAUUUUGAUCAUAUAUUCUGAACCAAAAUUACAAUUCUGUUCAGUUUGUGACAAGUUCACACUGAUUCUAUUCUUGCCACUAGUAAAAGAUUGAGAGGCGAGAUCGUAGAGAUGUUCCCAUAGUCAGAGAUUGUGGUCAAUGCUGUAGAAUCCAGUGUCGUGACAAAGGUUCGUCCUGGUAAAGUCAGGUUGUGUGCUUUGUAAGCUGGGGGCAUGGCUGGGUUCAAC